AACAUAGCCUUUAGCACAAUAAGUAUUAAAGGUGACGCCUGCCCAGUGAAUCAUUUUAACGGCCGCGGGAUCCUCCACCGUGCAAAGGUAGCAUAAUCACUUGUCCCCUAAAUAGAGACUAGUAUGAAUGGCCAAAUGAAGAUUUACCUGUCUCUUGUAGCCCAUCUGUUAAACUGAUCUUUCAGUACAAAAGCUGAAAUUUUAACACAAGACGAAAAGACCCUGUGGAACUUUUAAGCCUAAGUCACCACAUGAUAUAACGCUUUUAGUUGGGGCAACUUUGGAAAAAAACAAAACUUCCAAUACACCAAUAGACAGACAUGUCAACUCCCACCACAGACCCAGUAAUACUGAUUAAAGAACCAAGCUACCCCAGGGAUAACAGCGCCAUCCCCUCCUAGAGCCCCCAUCGACGAGGGGGUUUACGACCUCGAUGUUGGAUCAGGGCACCCAAGCAGUGCAGCAGCUGCUAAAGGUUUGUUUGUUCAACAAUUAAUGCCCUACGCGAUCUGAGUUAAGACCGGAGCAAUCC
rnacentral:rRNA from 1 species